UGGAGGAUGCAAAUGCAAUGUAGUAGUUGAAGAUGUUAGGAUUUGAUACAAGUCUUAAAAGAAUCUGAAGGUUCAAAAGUAGCAGUGUUAGUGAAGAUGGGAUAGAGAGUUUUAAGGGUAAAUGGUUGAGGAUGCAUGACUUCAGAAACUCUAGAUUAAAACAUCAACUAAUCUCAACACUCGUCUCUCUUUAGAGCUGUUCCCUGAUUCAUGUUUCAAAUCUUGGAUUCCUUAGCUGGUGAACAUCAUUUUCGUGAUCUCAAUACUGUAUUUGGUCCUUUUAAUGCUACUGCAUGUUCAAACAAGAUAUCAAGCUGAGAUGUUAACAUAUGUGUUAUGUGUUUUGGAUAUUAUGAGUCUCUCAUAUUUUUAUUAAACUUAUACUUCCCUCCUCAUUAGCAAGAAUAGCUAGUUAUGGACAUAGUCACACAGAUUAUUUUGCCUAAGCUUCUAAGACAUUAAUAACAUCCUAUAUGAGGUUCAUCUAUUACUAUAUUUGUCAAGUAUUGAGAAAAAUCAUCAUCUAUAUUUACCUUAAGUCUUCUCGUUUUACUGCUCACAGCAUCAGAACCAGUAGCUCACUCAUUCAGGGUUAUCCAAAUACCUGAAAACGAAGAUUUAGCCUGUAAUACCCUCAUGUUAUAAUACUUAGUCUCUAAUCGCCAAAGUUCCUUGUGUAUGAAAGAAAAAUGUAGAAGUCAAAUCAAGUCUAUCAAUGACAC
rnacentral:lncRNA from 1 species